AGCUCCAAUAGCGUAUAUUAAAAUUGUUGCGGUUAAAAAGCUCGUAGUUGGAUUUCAGACUGGAUGACUGAGUGGGUUCAUAUGGACUCUACUUGGCUUAAUCCGUCUCGUAAGCCGGCCUGUUGCUUUGAUACUCUUCAUUGAGUGUCUUUGCGCACGGCAUGUUUACUUUGAAAAAAUUAGAGUGCUCAAAGCAGGCUAUUUAUAAGUCUGAAUAUUGUUGCAUGGAAUAAUGGAACAGGACUCGGUUGCUAUUUUGUUGAUUUUCAGUAUUUUAGCCGAGUAAUGAUUAACAGAGGUAUACGGGGGCAAAAGUAUGGUCGCGCUAGAGGUGAAAUUCAUGGAUCGUGGCCAGACUAACUACUGCGAAAGCAUUUGCCAAGGAUGCUUUCAUUAAUCA
rnacentral:rRNA from 1 species